rnacentral:sRNA from 1 species
GCUGGGUACAGUGGCGCAUACCUGUAAUCCCAGUGACUCAGGAGGCUGAGACAGGAGGAUCGCAAGUUCAAAGCCAACCUCAGCAAAAGCGAGGCACUAGGCAACUCAGUGAGACCCUGUCUCUA